rnacentral:rRNA from 1 species
GCUUGGCUCUUUGCUGACGAGUGGCGGACGGGUGAGUAAUGUCUGGGAAACUGCCUGAUGGAGGGGGAUAACUACUGGAAACGGUAGCUAAUACCGCAUAACGUCGCAAGACCAAAGAGGGGGACCUUCGGGCCUCUUGCCAUCGGAUGUGCCCAGAUGGGAUUAGCUAGUAGGUGGGGUAACGGCUCACCUAGGCGACGAUCCCUAGCUGGUCUGAGAGGAUGACCAGCCACACUGGAACUGAGACACGGUCCAGACUCCUACGGGAGGCAGCAGUGGGGAAUAUUGCACAAUGGGCGCAAGCCUGAUGCAGCCAUGCCGCGUGUAUGAAGAAGGCCUUCGGGUUGUAAAGUACUUUCAGCGGGGAGGAAGGGAGUAAAGUUAAUACCUUUGCUCAUUGACGUUACCCGCAGAAGAAGCACCGGCUAACUCCGUGCCAGCAGCCGCGGUAAUACGGAGGGUGCAAGCGUUAAUCGGAAUUACUGGGCGUAAAGCGCACGCAGGCGGUUUGUUAAGUCAGAUGUGAAAUCCCCCGGG